rnacentral:rRNA from 1 species
UGGUACUAAGCCAUGUGAGUCGUUGCAGCAAUGCAAGGCAGACGGCUCAGUAACACGUAGUCAACCUAACCUAUGGACGGGGAUAACCUCGGGAAACUGAGAAUAAUACCCGAUAGAUCAUGAUACCUGGAACGGUUUAUGGUUCAAAUGAUUUAUCGCCAUAGGAUGGGACUGCGGUCUAUCAGCUUGUUGGUGAGGUAAUGGCCCACCAAGGCUAUAACAGAUACGGGCUCUGAGAGGAGGGGCCCGGAGAUGGGUACUGAGACACGGACCCAGGUCCUAUGGGGCGCAGCAGGCGAGAAACCUUUGCAAUGUGCGAAAGCACGACAAGGUUAAUCCGAGUGAUUCCUGCUAAAGGAAUCUUUUGUUAGUCAUAAAACCACUGGUGAAUAAGGGGUGGGCAAGUUCUGGUGUCAGCCGCCGCGGUAAAACCAGCACCUCGAGUGGUCAGGAGGUUUAUUGGGCCUAAAGCAUCCGUAGCCGGCUGUCUAAGUUUUCGGUUAAAUCUAUGCGCUUAACGUAUAGGCUGCCGAAAAUACUGGACAGCUAGGGAGUGGGAGAGGUACACGGUACUCGAUAGGAAGGGGUAAAAUCCUUUGAUCUAUUGACGACCACCUGUGGCGAAGGCGGUGUACCAGAACACGUUCGACGGUGAGGGAUGAAAGCUGGGGGAGCAAACCGGAUUAGAUACCCGGGUAGUNCCCUGCUGUAAACGAUGCAGACUCGGUGAUGCCUUGGCUUGUGGCCAAUGCAGUGCCGCAGGGAAGCCGUUAAGUNCUGCCGNCCUGGGAAGUACGUACGCAAGUAU